CCUGGUGCUUAUGGCGCGGUGGAACCACGCUGAUCCAUCUCGAACUCAGAGGUGAAACGCUGCAGCGGUGAAGAUAGUUGGAGGGUAGCCUCCUGCAAAAAUAACUCAGUGCCAGGG
rfam:Cyanothece sp. PCC 7425, complete genome.